rnacentral:rRNA from 1 species
CGUCAAAGCUUAACUACUUAGUAUCAUAAAUCCCUUAAACAAAUUAAAACCCUACCCCAAUACUGAAUAAUUCUAUAUUUUUAUAGAAAAUAUUAUGUUAAAACUAGUAACAAGAAGUUAAUCUUCUCUAAAAUGUAAAUGUAAGUCAGAACGGACAACACACUGACAAUUAACAAUAUUAAACUAUAGUAAUACCCCAUCCAAGAAAACCUUACUAACACACUUGUUAACCUAACACAAGAACAUUUAAAGAAAGACUAAAAGAAAAAGAAGGAAUUCGGCAAGAAUUGAUUCCGCCUGUUUACCAAAAACAUCACCUCUUGAACUAAGAUAUAAGAGGCUCCGCCUGCCCAGUGAUAUAUUUAACGGCCGCGGUAUCCUAACCGCGCGAAGGUAGCGUAAUCACCUGUUUUUUAAUUAAAGACCUGUAUGAAAGGCAUCACGAGAAUCACACUGUCUCCUUUAUCCAGUCAGUGAAAUUAAUCCUCCCGUGAAAAAGCGGGAAUCCUAAUACAAGACGAGAAGACCCUUUGGAGCUUAAGACAUUAUUAGUGUACGCUUACUUUUUACCCUUACACAUAACUGCACACUACCUAUGAGUCUUGGGUUGGGGCAACCACGGAGUAAAAACCAACCUCCACGCUGAACGGAACUUUCCUAAACAAAAAGCCACAACUUUAUGUAUCAAAAAACUGACACCAUUAGACCCAAUAUUUUGAUUAACGAACCAAGUUACCCUAGGGAUAACAGCGCAAUCCACUUCGAGAGUUCAUAUCGACAAGUGGGCUUACGACCUCG